UUCGCCCUUAGAGUUUGAUCCUGGCUCAGGACGAACGCUGGCGGCGCGCCUAACACAUGCAAGUCGAACGGAGCUGAGAGAAGCUUGCUUUUCUUAGCUUAGUGGCGAACGGGUGAGUAACGCGUGAGUAACCUGCCCUGGAGUGGGGGACAACAGUUGGAAACGACUGCUAAUACCGCAUAAGCCCACGAUCCGGCAUCGGAUUGAGGGAAAAGGAUUUAUUCGCUUCAGGAUGGACUCGCGUCCAAUUAGCUAGUUGGUGAGGUAACGGCCCACCAAGGCGACGAUUGGUAGCCGGACUCAGAGGUUGAACGGCCACAUUGGGACUGAGACACGGCCCAGACUCCUACGGGAGGCAGCAGUGGGGGAUAUUGCACAAUGGGGGAAACCCUGAUGCAGCGACGCCGCGUGGAGGAAGAAGGUUUUCGGAUUGUAAACUCCUGUCGUUAGGGACGAUAAUGACGGUACCUAACAAGAAAGCACCGGCUAACUACGUGCCAGCAGCCGCGGUAAAACGUAGGUGGCAAGCGUCGUCCGGAAUUACUGGGUGUAAAGGGAGCGUAGGCGGGCAGGCAAGUCAGGCGUGAAAUAUAUCGGCUCAACCGGUAACGGCGCUUGAAACUGCAGGUCUUGAGUGAAGUAGAGGUUGGCGGAAUUCCUAGUGUAGCGGUGAAAUGCGUAGGUAUUAGGAGGAACACCAGUGGCGAAGGCGGCCAACUGGGCUUUUACUGACGCUGAGGCUCGAAAGUGUGGGGAGCAAACAGGAUUAGAUACCCUGGUAGUCCACACCGUAAACGAUGAUUACUAGGUGUGGGGGGACUGACCCCUUCCGUGCCGGAGUUAACACAAUAAGUAAUCCACCUGGGGAGUACGGCCGCAAGGUUGAAACUCAAAGGAAUUGACGGGGGCCCGCACAAGCAGUGGAGUAUGUGGUUUAAUUCGACGCAACGCGAAGAACCUUACCAGGUCUUGACAUCGUAUGCAUAGUGUAGAGAUACACGAAGUCCUUCGGGACAUACAGACAGGUGGUGCAUGGUUGUCGUCAGCUCGUGUCGUGAGAUGUUGGGUUAAGUCCCGCAACGAGCGCAACCCUUGUAUUUAGUUGCUACGCAAGAGCACUCUAGAUAGACUGCCGUGGACAACACGGAGGAAGGUGGGGAUGACGUCAAAUCAUCAUGCCCCUUAUGACCUGGGCUACACACGUACUACAAUGGCGAUGGAACAGAGGGAAGCGACUCAGCGAUGAGAAGCAGAUCCCGAAAAAUUGUCUCAGUUCGGAUUGCAGGCUGCAACCCGCCUGCAUGAAGUCGGAAUUGCUAGUAAUCGCGGAUCAGCAUGCCGCGGUGAAUACGUAACCGGGCCUUGCACUCACCGCCCGUCA
rnacentral:rRNA from 1 species